UACGAAGGGGGCUAGCGUUGUUCGGAAUUACUGGGCGUAAAGGGCGCGUAGGCGGCCCUCCAAGUCAGAUGUGAAAGCCCCGGGCUUAACCUGGGAAUUGCAUUUGAGACUGAAGGGCUUGAGUUUCGGAGAGGUGGGUGGAAUUCCCAGUGUAGAGGUGAAAUUCGUAGAUAUUGGGAAGAACACCGGUGGCGAAGGCGGCCCACUGGACGCA
rnacentral:rRNA from 1 species